ACAGUGCACCGUGAGGAAUCCCAUCGCCAGAUCUAUUCAUCUUGUGUAACCGGCACCUGCGAUACGGCCUUCCACGUGCGCUCUCUGAGUGAGUGCGUGAGCGAGCGAGUGAAGGACUGAGUGAAUGAACAGUAUCUUCCCGAGAACAGAUUUUUCACUCUUUGUCUUGCUUAAAUCUCCAGCCCACAUAGUGCUUGGUUUUUGUUUGGCUCUUGCAUUUUUUAUCACAAAACAAAUACAAACUCCCUGGAAAGGCGCAUGGUCCGCAGCGGAAGUCUCGCUCCCUUGAUUAAUCUCCAUCACCAGCUCCCGUGGCACUGCCCAAAGGAGUCUGUGUUUGCUGGCUGGGUUUGGUUUGGUUUGGUUUGGUUUCUGGAGCAGUGCUGGGGAUAGAUCCAGGGCCUCACAUACGCCAGGCAGGUGCUCACCACAGAGCGCCACGCCGGCCCACGGCUGGAUUGUUUACCCAGGUGUCUUACACUCAAUAUAUCUUCUUGAAACUUGCUCUUUUACAUAAAGAUAUGUAAUAAUAACACCAAAAACUAACACCUAGUCUCCAUAUGUGCCAGGUAGUUUGAGAAUUUACAUAAAUAUUAACACUCCCCCCCACAUACACUGGUCCGUUGAGGUAGAUGUCGUUGUUAGCCAUAGACAUCUGCUGGUCAUGGCCGUACUAUUACUUACUGAAAUUUACUGUUUUGCAGAUAAGGAAACUGAGACGCAGAUUAACUAAUUUGCUCAAGGUCACAUCUCUGGAAAUUAUGAUUCUAUACAUUUGCUUACCUUGUUCUUUUCAACAGCUGCAUAGUAUUCCACUGUGGCUUCUACCAUGGUUUAUUUAACCAGCUCCUUGGAGGAUUUCCAGUUUUCACCAAUGGCAGCGGUGCUGGGCGGAUACCUCCAAGAUGGACAUUCAAGGAGACUGUGUCCUCGCACAUCACCACUUUGUGUCCUCGAGGGGCUGUGUGAGUCAGUGACGCUGCCGGCGGGACCCAGCGGCAGGCAGGUGACUAAGACCUCAUCCGGGCCCAGGGGACAGGCAGGUGAGGCCCAAAGGUACCACAGAGCCCACCAUGGGCUCCACCAUGGGUGCCACGCUCAGGGCCCUGGAGACCAGUGGGGACACUGCCCUGCCCAUGCAGGGCGCUGGGCCUGCCCGCGGGAGGUGGAGAGGGCGUCCUCUCAGGAGUCCAUGCUGGGCUUCGUCCUGGGCUCGGUUGGCCCUGGCUGUGUGGCCAGCUGUGCAGGGCAGGGCCAACCUGCUUCCCUCUCAGGAGACAGCUGAGUGCAGUGCAGGUGACAGGCCAGGCCCAAGGCUUCCCUGCUUUUUUCAUUGUCAAAAUCAGCACAUGUCAUAUUGAUACAAUAUUCAAUUCCCAGGUAAUUUAAAAUUUGCCAGUUGUCCCAGUAAUGUUUGUUUUAUUUUGGAAACAAGAUCUCACUCUAGUGCAGGCUGACCUGAAACUCUCAGUGAUCUUCCUGCCUCAGCCUUAGGAGUGCUGGGAUCAAAGGCAUGCACAGGCCUUCGCACUGAUCCAAUGAAGACAUUUUAUGUCUAUUUCUAGGAUCACUCAAUAUAUUAGUGUUAUGGUUUGUAUCUGGAUGUCCCCCCAAAGCCUCAUGCAGUCAUGGGCAGGCUUCUAGAGUUUAUGAUUGACCCAUGACACAAUGCUGGGAUUAUGGGGGUGAGUGCUACACUCUCCCUGGGGCGGUUAGCUUGCAUACAAUAUAAGAGAGGAAAGAGGCUUGCUCUUCCUGCUGCCACUCCUCCCUUUUGCUCUUGCUCGUGCUCUUCUUCCACAGCCAUGAACGGUUGCCCUCCGCCAUGUGCCACUCUGCCUUGGAGCCAGCCGAGUAUGGACUGAAACCUCCACAAACUGUGAGCCAAAUAAACCUUUUCUUCCUUAAUUUUGGGCAUUGGGUAUUUUGUCUCAGCAAGGAUAGAAAAGUAACCAGGACAAUUAGUCACCAUCACCCUUUAUUCUUAUUGAGCCUGGGACUGUGCCUCAGCCUUAUUUGCCUUGCGAGCUAUUGAUACCUCUGGAGAAUCCAAGCCCUCGUGUUGUGUAUUGCCCUGCUAAUUGAGCUGAUCUGAUUUAUUCAUAAUUAAAUUCCGAUGAUCAGUUUUGGACAGGAAAAAUCCACAAGCACUAUGCUCUUCUCAGUGGAUUCCAUCAGAAGGCACCAGACGUCGGCUCCACCAGUUACUGGUGAUGAUUUUCUCGUUUCAUUUUUAUUUUUACUCGCUGUGUCUGCAGUGCCCAGUGGCCUCAUCCCUCACGGGGAGGGGUGCGCACACCUCACGCGUCUUCACUCUGUGCGUCCCUUCCCUCCCCUUCUGCCCCAUCUCUCGGUGCCCUCCCUACUCCUUCCUUCCUUUCCACAGGCGUCACUCCAGUAAGAAAAGGAAGACGAAAAAUUAUUUUAAAGAAAUGCUGCCGUUGCACCAGUGAGAAUCAUCAUGAACACUGGAAAGUGAGCUCCCCUCACCAGGAUAGCCAGCAUGGCCACAGAGAGGACGCAGCACCCUAGGGAGAGGGAGGUGCCCAUCUCCGCCUCCAGCACAUCACUGUGUCCCCUACCCUGAGUCCCCACAACCAAAUGCUAAUGUGAACGGAACGCUGAUGUCAAACAACACAACUGCUAGAGUAUAAACAGGAAGUGUCCCCCAUCUGCCAGGGCGUAAACAGGAAGUGUCCCCCAUCUGCCAGGG
ensembl:lincRNA